rnacentral:rRNA from 1 species
CGAGUUGUAAUUUGUAGAGGAUGCUUUGGGCGCGGCGCCAACUGAGUUCCCUGGAACGGGACGCCACAGAGGGUGAGAGCCCCGUAUAGUUGGAUGCCUAGCCUAUGUAAAGCUCCUUCGACGAGUCGAGUAGUUUGGGAAUGCUGCUCAAAAUGGGAGGUAAAUUUCUUCUAAAGCUAAAUACCGGCCAGAGACCGAUAGCGCACAAGUAGAGUGAUCGAAAGAUGAAAAGCACUUUGAAAAGAGGGUUAAAUAGCACGUGAAAUUGUUGAAAGGGAAGCGCUUGUGACCAGACUUGCGCCGGGCAGAUCAUCCGGUGUUCUCACCGGUGCACUCUGCCCGGCUCAGGCCAGCAUCGGUUCUCGUGGGGGGAUAAAGGUCUCGGGAACGUAGCUCUUCCGGGAGUGUUAUAGCCCGGGGCGUAAUGCCCUCGCGGGGACCGAGGUUCGCGCAUCUGCAAGGAUGCUGGCGUAAUGGUCAUCAGCGACCCGUCUAAAAAUUCACAAACAA